rnacentral:piRNA from 1 species
AGGUUGGAUAAGCAAAGAGCAGAG